CGGGCUAUGUUGUGUCAUGUGUACUUUUGUUUGUCUGUUUGUCUUUUUCAUUUUUAGUCAUGGCGUUGUCAGUUUAUUUUCGAUUUAUGAGUUUGACUGUCCCUCUGGUAUCUUCCGUUCCUCUUUAAGGAGUUCGUGGAUUUCCCUUAGCUUUCAUUACAUUAAUUUGCAUCGUCUUUGUCGGUUUAUGAGAUUUGAAAAUAGAUUCACUACAUUUGCCUUCA
rnacentral:lncRNA from 1 species